rnacentral:rRNA from 1 species
AUUGAACGCUGGCGGCAUGCUUUACACAUGCAAGUCGAACGGUAACAGGUUAAGCUGACGAGUGGCGAACGGGUGAGUAAUGCAUCGGAACGUGCCCGAUCGUGGGGGAUAACGCAGCGAAAGCUGCGCUAAUACCGCAUACGAUCUGAGGAUGAAAGCGGGGGACCGUAAGGCCUCGCGCGAUCGGAGCGGCCGAUGUCAGAUUAGGUAGUUGGUGGGGGAAAGGCCCACCAAGCCGACGAUCUGUAGCUGGUCUGAGAGGACGACCAGCCACACUGGAACUGAGACACGACCCAGACUCCUACGGGAGGCAGCAGUGGGGAAUUUUGGACAAUGGGCGAAAGCCUGAUCCAGCAAUGCCGCGUGCAGGAAGAAGGCCUUCGGGUUGUAAACUGCUUUUGUACGGAGCGAAAAGGUCCUUUCUAAUACAAGGGGCUCAUGACGGUGCCGUAAGAAUAAGCACCGGCUAACUACGUGCCAGCCGCCGCGGUAAAAC